GGUGGCUCUGGGAAGUGUUGGUUCCUGUGUGUAACAUGGUGGUGAGAGCAAGGAGAAAAGCUGUUUGGAGAUCUCCUGGUCCGUACUCUCCCAUCUCUGUGUGAGGUCUGCUGGUCCUGCUUUCCCAUCUCUGGUGUCUCUGACCCAUGGAGAGAAAGGAUGGAGCUGACCUCAGAUAGGAGCCAUCUCCCCACUGAUGACCUGUGACCACUGACCCCAGCUGAGUUUCCCAUACUUCUGGGCCUUCUGAAGAGCCCAGCUCCUCCCACAGCUGCUGACAUAGCAACAGAGCAAAGCAGAGGGUCUGCAGGGGCCGUCAGCGCUGUGUGGAGAUGGAACUAAUGACUUUGGAUGGGCACUGAGCAGCAGAUCUGGGGGGGCUGCAGUGACACAUGCACCUCCUGCAAAAGAUGCCUGGCUGGAGCCAAAGGUGACCUCUCACUGCUUUCAAGCAGGAUCCAUCCUCUGGCUGAGUGGCUGGGCUGGGGUGGCCAGCAGAGCAGCAUGUGCUCCUCCUGGCUCAGCAGCAAGUAAGACAAUCCUGGGACACUGCAGAAGAUAUAAGGAGAAGAUCAGCAAAAGACCCACUGUGGGUCUGAAAAGCAGCUGUGCCUACAGCUCUCCAGUGGUGGGAUAUCUGAACUGCCUCAAGAUGAGCAGGGAAUUGAACCAAGGACUCCUACAAUCUGUUUUCCCUGAUGCUUCUCAAGUGAAAACACAAUGUUACUCCCCAGAAAUGGCAGAGACGGGUCCUGUAAAAAGUAGGAGGAUCAGUACUGUGCCAGCAGCAGGACUCUUCAGCCCAUUGACAGUAACUGCUCUGCAAGGUGGAUGAAUGAUGAUCUCAUUGUGAGCCUAUCUGAUGUUUUCCUAAAAAGCACAAUAAAGUGACUUUCCCAAGGUGUUGAGGAAAAUCUGUGGCAUGGGGGCAUUAAGGGCUCCAUUUUGGGGUGAAAUUUUGCAUCAGCCUCUAGUUUGCUUGAAACCUCAUCAAAAAUCGUGCAGUGCUCUGGUAUAGCACUGCAUGGAGUUAUACUGGCACAACAACAGGCUGAAAAUUCUCUCAUGGGCUUUAUUCAUCUCAACAUUUGCCUUUCAACCCAACCUAGUCAUGUAUGAUCCUGCCAUGACCAGUAGGGAUGGAUACCUCCAGAUGGAAAAUCAUCCUCUCCCAAGGGAAACAUCUAAGCCAC
rnacentral:lncRNA from 1 species